rnacentral:rRNA from 1 species
UUUACCCGCUGAACUUAAGCAUAUCAAUAAGCGGAGGAAAAGAAACUAACAAGGAUUCCCCUAGUAACUGCGAGUGAAGCGGGAAAAGCUCAAAUUUAAAAUCUAACAGUUUCACUGUUCGAGUUGUAAUCUGGAGAAGCAUUUUCCGUGUUGGACCGUGUACAAGUCUCUUGGAAUAGAGCGUCAUAGAGGGUGAAAAUCCCGUCCAUGACACGGACUACCGAUACUUUGUGAUAUGCUCUCGAAGAGUCGAGUUGUUUGGGAAUGCAGCUCAAAAUGGGUGGUAAAUUCCAUCUAAAGCUAAAUAUUGGCGAGAGACCGAUAGCGAACAAGUACCGUGAGGGAAAGAUGAAAAGUACUUUGGAAAGAGAGUUAAACAGUAUGUGAAAUUGUUGAAAGGGAAACGCUUGAAGUCAGUCGCGUUGUUUGAGACUCAGCCUUGCUCUUUUGCCUGGUGUAUUUCUUAGUUAACGGGUCAACAUCAAUUUUGGUUGGUGGAUAAAGGUAGAGGGAAUGUGGCAUUCUUCGGGAUGUGUUAUAGCCCUUUAUUGCAUACACUGACUGGGAUUGAGGAACGCAGCAUGCCUUUUUGGCCGGGGGUUCACCUCACGUAACGUGC